GAUGAAGAACGUAGCGAAAUGCGAUACGUAAUGUGAAUUGCAGAAUUCAGUGAAUCAUCGAAUCUUUGAACGCACAUUGCGCCUGCCAGCACUCUGGCAGGCAUGCCUGUUCGAGCGUCAUUUCAACCAUCAAGCCCUAGGCUUGCGUUGGAGCCCUGCGGCUGCCGCAGGCCCCUAAAAGCAGUGGCGGGCUCGCUAUCACACCGAGUGCAGUAGAUUACUCUUCGCUCAGGGCGUGUGGCGGGUUCCACCCGUGAAACCCCCUACUUCUCAAGGUUGACCUCGGAUCAGGUAGGAAUACCCGCUGAACUUAAGCAUAUCAAUAAGCGGAGGA
rnacentral:misc_RNA from 1 species